rnacentral:lncRNA from 1 species
GACUGAAAUAAAAACGCCGUGUGUAUUCCAGCUCUGGCACAAGCAGGCGACCGUGCUGCAGCGCUGACCUGAUAGUUCUGAACAGAGACAGAGCAUCCAGUUACCGGCCUUUGAACUUUGAACGUGUCUGCCAGGCUGGUUCCCAGGAGUCUGACAGCAGACGCUCAGCGAUCAGCCUCUGUCCUCCUCUGCGUGCCAGAACAGCUGGGUGGUCUGGAGAAGAUCUAAAGGCUUCAGCCUGGCUUCUGAGCAGCUGUGGGCAGGGGAGAGGGACAGGAGGGUUAUCCAGGAUGGUCUUCUGGAAAGCUGAGGACUACAAAUGUAUUUUUUCUUAA